AUUGAACGCUGGCGGCAGGCUUAACACAUGCAAGUCGAGCGGAGAUGAGGUGCUUGCACCUUAUCUUAGCGGCGGACGGGUGAGUAAUGCUUAGGAAUCUGCCUAUUAGUGGGGGACAACAUUCCGAAAGGAAUGCUAAUACCGCAUACGUCCUACGGGAGAAAGCAGGGGACCUUCGGGCCUUGCGCUAAUAGAUGAGCCUAAGGCGGAUUAGCUAGUGGGUGGGGUAAAGGCCUACCAAGGCGACGAUCUGUAGCGGGUCUGAGAGGAUGAUCCGCCACACUGGGACUGAGACACGGCCCAGACUCCUACGGGAGGCAGCAGUGGGGAAUAUUGGACAAUGGGCGGAAGCCUGAUCCAGCCAUGCCGCGUGUGUGAAGAAGGCCUUUUGGUUGUAAAGCACUUUAAGCGAGGAGGAGGCUACUAGUACUAAUACUACUGGAUAGUGGACGUUACUCGCAGAAUAAGCACCGGCUAACUCUGUGCCAGCCGCCGCGGUAA
rnacentral:rRNA from 1 species